CAGGUGUGGAGACACCGAGGUAGAGACCCAGCCUGGGCAGGUUCUGGAAAGAAUGUGAAUACCAGUGCUGACGGGGUGAAGGGGGAGAGGGCACCUAGGAGCAGCAGCCACACUUGGGGGCAGAUUCGUUACUGUCUGAGCCACCAUGGAGUAAAAUAAACCAGGAUUUUAUGACCGUAUCAUAAAACAUCUUUCUGCUGCCUGCUUCUGCCUGGAAUCCGGCAUGGAGGUCUGGGUCUGUGUUGCAUGUUCUCUGGACUGAUGGUCAGAGCUCUGUGGACCCGUUGGCCUGCCUUGACUGAUCACAGAAAAAGCUGUUUUUUCACCUUCUGGGCCAAACAUCACCAGAAAGGCCCACUUUAGAAAAGAAGACAACUCUGUAUCUACAGCAGCAUUUUCAAAAUCGCUUCAGUCAUGUCCAGCUCUUCAUGACCCUAUGGACCAGCCAGGCUCCUCUAUCCUUGGGAUCCUCCAGGCAAGAAUACUGGAGUGGGUUGCCAUGUCCUCCUCCAAGGAUCUUCCCAACCCAGGGAUUGAACCUGUGUCUCCUGCAUCUGCUGCAUUGCAGGUUCUGGUCCUCUGGAGAACCCUCAGGAAUGUAUGUGUUACCAGCUAUGCAGAAGUAUUGUGAAGACCCAGCAAUCCCACUUCUGGGCAUACACACUGAGGAAACCAGAUCUGAAAGAGACACGUGCACCCCAAUGUUCAUCGCAGCACUGUUUAUAAUAGCCAGGACAUGGAAGCAACCUAGAUGCCCAUCAGCAGAUGAAUGGAUAAGGAAGCUGUGGUACAUAUACACCAUGGAAUAUUACUCAGCCAUUAAAAAGAAUUCAUUUGAACCAGUCCUAAUGAGAUGGAUGAAGCUGGAGCCCCUUAUACAGAGUGAAGUAAGCCAGAAAGAUAAAGAACAUUACAGCAUACUGACACAUGUAUAUGGAAUUUAGAAAGGUGAUAACGAUAACCCUAUAUGCAGAACAGAA